AAGGAGCUUGCUCCUUCGACGUUAGUCGGCGGGACGGGUGAGUAACACNUGGGCAACCUACCUUAUAGUUUGGGAUAACUCCGGGAAACCGGGGCUAAUACCGAANAAUCUGUUUCACCUCAUGGUGAAACACUGAAAGACGGUNUCGGCUGUCGCUAUAGGAUGGGCCCGCGGCGCAGUAGCUANUUGGUGAGGUAACGGCUCACCAAGGCGACGAUGCGUAGCCAACCUGAGAGGGUGAUCGGCCACACUGGGACUGAGACACGGCCCAGACUCCUACGGGAGGCAGCAGUAGGGNAAUCUUCCANAAUGGGCGAAAGCCUGAUGGAGCAACGCCGCGUGAGUGAAGAAGGAUUUCGGUUCGUAAAACUCUGUUGUAAGGGAAGAACAAGUACAGUAGUAACUGGCUGUACCUUGACGGUACCUUAUUAGAAAGCCACGGCUAACUACGUGCCAGCAGCCGCGGUAAUACGUAGGUGGCAAGCGUUGUCCGGAAUUAUUGGGCGUAAAGCGCGCGCAGGUGGUUUCUUAAGUCUGAUGUGAAAGCCCACGGCUCAACCGUGGAGGGUCAUUGGAAACUGGGAGACUUGAGUGCAGAAGAGGAUAGUGGAAUUCCAAGUG
rnacentral:rRNA from 1 species